AACGAACGCUGGCGGCAGGCUUAACACAUGCAAGUCGAACGCACCGCAAGGUGAGUGGCAGACGGGUGAGUAACGCGUGGGAACGUGCCCAUCGGCCCGGAAUAACCCAGGGAAACUUGGGCUAAGACCGGAUACGCCCUUUUGGGGGAAAGAUUCAUCGCCGAUGGAUCGGCCCGCGUCUGAUUAGCUGGUUGGUGGGGUAACGGCUCACCAAGGCGACGAUCAGUAGCUGGUCUGAGAGGAUGAUCAGCCACACUGGGACUGAGACACGGCCCAGACUCCUACGGGAGGCAGCAGUGGGGAAUAUUGGACAAUGGGCGCAAGCCUGAUCCAGCCAUGCCGCGUGAGUGAUGAAGGCCCUAGGGUUGUAAAGCUCUUUCGCACGCGACGAUAAUGACGGUAGCGUGAGAAGAAGCCCCGGCUAACUUCGUGCCAGCCGCCGCCGUAAAAC
rnacentral:rRNA from 1 species